CUGUCAGACAGUUUUCACUUGACCUCGACCUCAUUUCAUGGAUCAGUGAACAAGGUUAAGUUUUGGUGGUCAAGUCCAUAUCUCAGAUACUACAAGCAAUAGGGCUAGUAUAUUCGGUGUAUGGAAGGACUGUAAGGUGUACAUGUCAAACUGGCAGGUGUCAUCUGACGUUGACCUCAUUUUCAUGGUUCAGUGGUUAUAGUUAAAUUUUUGUGUUUUGGUCUGUUUUUCUCCUACUACAUGCAAUAGGUCUACUAUAUUUCUUGUAUGGAAUGAUUGUAAGGUGUACCUAUCUAGCGGGCAGAUGUCAUGUGAUCUUGACCUCAUUUUCAUGGUUCAGUGGUCAAAGUUAAGUUUUUGAGUUUUGGUCUUUUUAUCUAAUACUAUAUGCCAUAGGUCAUCUAUAUUUGGUGUAUGGAAAUAUUUUAUGAUCUUUAUGUCAGUCGCGCAGGUUUUAUUUGACUGUGACCUCAUUUUUACGGUUCAUUGCACAG
rnacentral:lncRNA from 1 species